AUCUCUUUGCUUUUUGGCUAAGAUCAAGUGUAGUAUCUGUUCUUUUCAGUGUAACAACUGGAAUGUCCUCAUUGAGGACUUUUUGUUAGUUACCCUUAUUUUUUGGCUUAUGGUAGAAAGUUUAAAUUUUAAUUUAUUAAAAUUUUACAAUGGGCUUGCUCAUUGGGCUUUUCUACAUAGUGUCGAUGCCAUUGCACUGCAAGGCUUCUGACGCAACUCUUU
rnacentral:snRNA from 1 species